GAGGAAUAUUGGUCAAUGGGCGCAGGCCUGAACCAGCCAAGUAGCGUGAAGGAUGACUGCCCUAUGGGUUGUAAACUUCUUUUAUAUGGGAAUAAAGUUUUCCACGUGUGGAAUUUUGUAUGUACCAUAUGAAUAAGGAUCGGCUAACUCCGUGCCAGCAGCCGCGGUAAUACGGAGGAUCCGAGCGUUAUCCGGAUUUAUUGGGUUUAAAGGGAGCGUAGGUGGAUAGUUAAGUCAGUUGUGAAAGUUUGCGGCUCAACCGUAAAAUUGCAGUUGAUACUGGCUGUCUUGAGUACAGUAGAGGUGGGCGGAAUUCGUGGUGUAGCGGUGAAAUGCUUAGAUAUCACGAAGAACUCCGAUUGCGAAGGCAGCUCACUGGACUGCAACUGACACUGAUGCUCGAAAGUGUGGGUAUCAAACAGGAUUAGAUACCCUGGUAGUCCACACAGUAAACGAUGAAUACUCGCUGUUUGCGAUAUACAGUAAGCGGCCAAGCGAAAGCAUUAAGUAUUCCACCUGGGGAGUACGCCGGCAACGGUGAAACUCAAAGGAAUUGACGGGGGCCCGCACAAGCGGAGGAACAUGUGGUUUAAUUCGAUGAUACGCGAGGAACCUUACCCGGGCUUAAAUUGCAUUUGAAUAUAUUGGAAACAGUAUAGCCGUAAGGCAAAUGUGAAGGUGCUGCAUGGUUGUCGUCAGCUCGUGCCGUGAGGUGUCGGCUUAAGUGCCAUAACGAGCGCAACCCUUAUCUUUAGUUACUAACAGGUCAUGCUGAGGACUCUAGAGAGACUGCCGUCGUAAGAUGUGAGGAAGGUGGGGAUGACGUCAAAUCAGCACGGCCCUUACGUCCGGGGCUACACACGUGUUACAAUGGGGGGUACAGAAGGCAGCUACCUGGUGACAGGAUGCUAAUCCCAAAAGCCUCUCUCAGUUCGGAUCGAAGUCUGCAACCCGACUUCGUGAAGCUGGAUUCGCUAGUAAUCGCGCAUCAGCCAUGGCGCGGUGAAUACGUUCCCG
rnacentral:rRNA from 1 species